AUCCUACAUAGGACCUAUCCAAAACUACACACCUUUACACAAACCUAGACUUGUUUGGUUAUGACACGACUUUUAGCUCUAGGUUAGGCCGAUAUUUUUUAUUGUUGUUUAGUAUUUACUACAUGCCCAUAUUCUAUAAAUGCAAUUCUUAAAUUUCCUGUCAGUUAUAUUAUUUUAUUUACCUGCAUUUCUUUUCUGAACGGCAUCUACGCUCAUUUGCAUAUUUUUCUCUUAUCUUAUAUUGCGAGGUACAUCGGAGCUUGAUGAUAAAACGGGAGCAUUCGCUUUGGAGCUUUUAAGUGGCAGCGCCACAAUCUGGAAUUGUUUGCUCAUGAGCUUGUAAGUGGCAGCGCCACAAUCAGAUGGAUGAACGAUUAGAAGAAAGAAGUUGAAGACUGCUUAGUCAAUUUAGAUGACAUAUCGUUCCAUGAUAAACAAAAUCGUUCAAUUAUUCAUAUGGUUAUUGCUAUAGCCGUGAGUAUUACUUUCUUGCUUAUGCAUGCGGUAGGGAAAAAAGCGAAAAUAUAAUCUAGAAUGGAAUAUUCAAUGUUGAACAUAUCUCGCUAUGCUAUACCAUGGUUCUGAUUCGGAUUGUA